rnacentral:tRNA from 1 species
ACCUGGGUGGCUCAGCAGAUUAAGCGUCUGACUUCAGCUCAGAUCAUGAUCUUGUGGUUUGUGGGUUCGAGCCCCAUGUCAGGCU